rnacentral:rRNA from 1 species
GGCCCGAGUUGUAAUUUGGAGAAGGUGCUUCGGGUGCGACCGCGGUCCAAGUCCCAUGGAACUGGGCGUCACAGAGGGUGAGAAUCCCGUACGUGGCCGAGAGGUCUAUCCCGUGCGAAGCCCUUUCGACGAGUCGAGUUGUUUGGGAAUGCAGCUCUAAAUGGGUGGUAAACUUCAUCUAAAGCUAAAUAUCGGCCGGAGACCGAUAGCGCACAAGUAGAGUGAUCGAAAGGUGAAAAGAACUUUGAAAAGAGAGUUAAACAGUACGUGAAAUUGUUGAAAGGGAAGCGCUUGCAACCAGACUCGCGCGCGGGGUUCAGCCGUCCCUCGGGGUGGUGUACUCCCCGUGCGCGGGCCAGCAUCAGCUUGGGCGGUCGGAUAAAGGUUCGGGGAACGUAGCUCCCUCCGGGGAGUGUUAUAGCCCCGGGCGUCAUGCGGCCAGCCCGGGCUGAGGAUCGCGCUCCGCUAGGAUGCUGGCG